rnacentral:misc_RNA from 1 species
UCUCCGUUGGUGAACCAGCGGAGGGAUCAUUACGAGGGCUCCGAAAAGGCCAAAAACAUCCGCGAACCUACCUUCUCUGCACCCGCCGGCGGGUGGCGCCAGGGGGCGCGUCGGCCGCCGCCAGCCGCCGGACCCCACCCCUAGAAACUCCUUGAUAGUCUUCUGAGUACUGAGGCAAACAAUCACAACUUUCAACGAUGGAUCUCUUGGUUCUGGCAUCGAUGAAGAACGCAGC